CCUACGGGGGGCAGCAGUGGGGAAUAUUGGACAAUGGGGGGAACCCUGAUCCAGCCAUGCCGCGUGUGUGAAGAAGGCCCUCGGGUUGUAAAGCACUUUCAGUGAGGAAGAACGCCUGGUGGUUAAUACCCAUCAGGAAAGACAUCACUCACAGAAGAAGCACCGGCUAACUCCGUGCCAGCAGCCGCGGUAAUACGGAGGGUGCGAGCGUUAAUCGGAAUUACUGGGCGUAAAGCGCGCGUAGGUGGCUUGAUAAGCCGGUUGUGAAAGCCCCGGGCUCAACCUGGGAACGGCAUCCGGAACUGUCAAGCUAGAGUGCAGGAGAGGAAGGUAGAAUUCCCGGUGUAGCGGUGAAAUGCGUAGAGAUCGGGAGGAAUACCAGUGGCGAAGGCGGCCUUCUGGACUUACACUGACACUGAGGUGCGAAAGCGUGGGUAGCAAACAGGAUUAGAUACCCUAGUAGUC
rnacentral:rRNA from 1 species